rnacentral:rRNA from 1 species
UGGGGAAUUUUGCACAAUGGGGGAAACCCUGAUGCAGCGACGCCGCGUGAUUUAGAAGGCCUUCGGGUUGUAAAAAUCUUUUCUAUGGGAAGAAAAUGACAGUACCAUAGGAAUAAGGACCGGCUAAUUACGUGCCAGCAGCCGCGGUAAUACGUAAGGUCCGAGCGUUGUCCGGAAUCAUUGGGCGUAAAGGGUACGUAGGCGGGUAAGCAAGUUAGAAGUGAAAUCCUAUAGCUCAACUAUAGUAAGCUUUUAAAACUGCUCAUCUUGAGGUAUGGAAGGGAAAGUGGAAGUCCUAGUGUAGCGGUGAAAUGCGCAGCUAUUAGGAGGAAUACCGGUGGCGAAGGCGACUUUCUGGCCAUAACCUGACGCUGAGGUACGAAAGCGUGGGUAGCAAACAGG